CAUAAUUGUUGUUUAGGCCUAUUUCUUAUUAAAUAUUUCUCAGGUAAACUCUGCCUUAUGCUUAAAAUGAGAUGAAGUCCAAAAGUUCUGCAAAGGCACCCAAAAAGGAGACACCAAGGGGGGAACUGAAAUCCAUGAGGAGAAAGGAAGAGGUAAGUGAUGGACUGUUGGUUUGAUCAGUGUAGUUGGAGAGGUGGAAAUUUCAUCCUCCAAUCCACUGUCACUUUUGGAAUUCUAUAUAUCGCAAAAUCAAAAAUAAAAUCAGCUCUUUUUCUCUUUUGUA